UACGGGGGGAGCAAGCGUUGUUCGGAUUUACUGGGCGUAAAGGGUGCGUAGGCGGCUCUGCAAGUCGGAUGUGAAAUCCCUCGGCUCAACCAAGGAAGUGCAUCCGAAACUGCGGAGCUUGAGUACUUAAGAGGAUCGCGGAAUUCCCGGUGUAGAGGUGAAAUGCGUAGAUAUCGGGAGGAACACCAGUGGCGAAGGCGACUACCUGGCCUGUUCUUGACGCUGAGGCGCGAAAGCUAGGGGAGCAAACGGG
rnacentral:rRNA from 1 species